rnacentral:lncRNA from 1 species
GGAAGCUCACGUUUCCAGCCUCCUGUGCAUCCCAUCCUAAGAACCCCUGGAGUGUGGCUCCGCGGAGCAAGAAAGGCUUUCGGCCAGGACCAAGGAGAGGGCCUGUGGAUAGGUCAGUCACCCCCAAUGCUACUUCCCAUUCUCCAGUCAGGCCCGCUGAGGGUGACCCACUCUCCCUUCUUCCCACAAGGACCACAUUCUAGCCAACGGGACGUGAGUGGAGUUGAAGUGUUCCACUGGUGAACGACUCCCUUAAAAGGAAUGGGCAUGCAUGCCCCUUGACAGCUGGGAUGCAGAUGUGAUGGUGGGAGCGGGAGCAGCCACUUUGGUUCCAGACAUGGAAACUGCAGGUGAUGGUGACAGAGCCACCCUACCAGCCCUGGGCCACUGACUUCUGG